rnacentral:rRNA from 1 species
AGCGAACGCUGGCGGCAGGCUUAACACAUGCAAGUCGAGCGGGCACUUCGGUGUCAGCGGCAGACGGGUGAGUAACACGUGGGAACGUGCCCUUCGGUUCGGAAUAACUCAGGGAAACUUGAGCUAAUACCGGAUACGCCCUUUUGGGGAAAGGUUGACCGCCGAAGGAUCGGCCCGCGUCUGAUUAGCUUGUUGGUGGGGUAACGGCCUACCAAGGCGACGAUCAGUAGCUGGUCUGAGAGGAUGAUCAGCCACACUGGGACUGAGACACGGCCCAGACUCCUACGGGAGGCAGCAGUGGGGAAUAUUGGACAAUGGGCGCAAGCCUGAUCCAGCCAUGCCGCGUGAGUGAUGAAGGCCUUAGGGUUGUAAAGCUCUUUUGUCCGGGACGAUAAUGACGGUACCGGAAGAGUAAGCCCCGGCUAACUUCGUGCCAGCCGCCGCAGUAACAC